rnacentral:rRNA from 1 species
AUGAAACUACAGAAUAGAGGAAUGGAAGUGGAUACAAGAUGUCCAGUAUGCCAUCGAAUGGAUGAAGAUGGAGGUCAUUGUUUCCUAAAGUGCAAAUUUGUCAAGGCCGUUUGGAGAACUGCAUUGUUGGAAGAAAGUCGGAUGCAACUUCUCAAUUGCCCAAAUGCCAUCUCGAUGGUGGAGGAUAUCUUGCACAUGGAAGAGGAAAAAUGUCUGAAAGUAUGCAUCCUUUUAUGGUUAUGGUGGUCUGAAAGAAACGGAGCUAAUCAAGGAGAAAGGAUUAGGACUGAAGAGGAAAUUAUAUAUUCAGUUCAGCUGCACUUGUUGGAAUACAAAAAAUACAUCAAGCGAUAG